GGUCGAUGAUGAGAACCUUAUAUUGUCCUGAAGAGAGGUGAUGACUUAAAAAUCAUGCUCAAUAGGAUUAUGCUGAGGCCCAGUCUAGGUUAAAAUUCUGGAAGAGGAUGCUGGGAUCCCAAGUUCACAGGCAGGGCCACUGUAUUUUGGACUAGAGAACUCGAGGCCCUAAAGGGCAUCUUGAGGGGGUCCAACCUGUCUCUGUGCUCCUCCAUGAGGCAGCCCUGGCUCCCUGUGUGGCCUUGGUGUUGGUGCUCUGGUUCCCAGGCGUGGCAUGUGGGCACCUCCUUCCAGAGCCCCCAUUCUCCCCUGUCUCUUUCAGUGAGCUCUUCCGCCCAUUUGGGCCCUCUGACAUUGACCGGCAUAGAUGGUGAGCUCGGAGGAAGACUUGCAUUGGGCCCAAUGGAGCUGGGCCAGUUUCUGUCAGCCAGGUCCCCAGCUCCUGAUGCACUGAAGCUCAGGCCCUUCCUGGAGCCCUGGUCUCCUGCCCUGAGCUGUGAUGGUGAGCCUGGAGGAAGACUUGCACUGGGCCUUCUGUGCGCCGGCCAGAGGCCAUCAACCAGGUGCCCAGGUCCUUUUGUACUGAAGCUUGGGCCCUUCCUGGCACCCUGGUCUCCUUCAUGGAGCUGAUGGUGAGCCUGAAGGAAGACUUGCAUCAGGACCAAUGGACCCUGGCAAGUGUCCGUCAGCCAGGUGCUCAGCCCCUGGUGCACUGAAGCUCAGGCCCUUCCUGGCCCCUUGAUCUCCUGCACUGAGCUGUGUGAGCUCUUCUGCCAAGGGGGGGCCUCCUGGCAUUGACCAACAUAGAUGGUGAGCCUGGAGGAAGAUUUGCAUUGGGCCCAAUGGCCCUGGGCCAGUGUCUGUCAGCCAGUUUCCCAGCCCCUGGUGCACUGAAGCUCAGGCCUUUCCUGGCAUCCUGGCCUCCUGCACUGAGCUGUGUGAGUGCUUCUGCCCAGGCAGGCCACUUGGCAUUGACCGGUAUAGAUGGUGAGCCUGGAGGAAGAUGUGUGGGACCCGCAGGCCGAGGGCCAGUGUCUCUCAGCCAGGUGCUCAGCCCCCAGUGGGCUGAAACUCUGACCCUUCCUGGCACCCUGCUCUCCUGCACUGUGCUGUGAUGGUGAGACUUCUGUUGGGCUUGCUUUUCCUGGGCCAGUGUCCAUCAGCCAGGUGCUCAGCCAUCGGUGCGCUGAAGCUCCAGCCCUUCCUGGUGCCCUGAUCUCCUGCACUGAGCUGUGAUGAUGAGCUCUUUCACCUAGGAGGGCCCCUUGGCAUUGACUGGCAUAGAUGGUGACCCUGAAGAAAGACUUCAGUUGGGCCUGAAGGCCCCGGGCCAGUGUCCAUCAUCCAGGUGCUCAGCUCCCAGUGCACUGAAGCUCAGACCCUUCCUGGUUCCCUGGUCUCUUGCACUGAGCUCUGAUGGUGAGACUUGAGGAAGACUUCCACUGGGCCUGCUUUUCCUGAGCCAGUGCCCAUCACCCAGGUGCUCAGUCCCUGGUGCACUGAAGCUCCAGCCCUUCCUGGCGCCCUGGUCUCCUGAACUGAGCUGUGUGAGCUCUUCUGCCAAGCGGUUCCCCUGGCAUUGACCAACAUAGAUGGUGAGCCUGGAGGAAGACUUGCGUUGGGCCCAAAGGCCCUAGACCAGUGUCUGUCAGCCAGGUUCCCAACCCCCGAUGCGCUGAAGCUCAAGCCUUUCCUGGCACCCUGGUCUCCUGCACUGAGCUGUGUGAGCUCUUCUGCCCAGGCGGGCCCCCUGGAAUUGAUGGGUAUAGAUGGUGACCCCGGAGGAAAAUUUGUGUUGGGCCCACUAUCCCUGGGCCAAUGUCAGUCAGCUAGGCACCCAGCCCCCAGUGCGCUGAAGCUCAGGACCUUCCUAGUGCCCUCGGCUCCUGCACUGAGCUCUGAUGGUAAGCCUGGAGGAAGACUUGUGUUGGGCCCACAGGCCCCAGGCCAAUGUCUGUCAGCCAGGUGCUCAGCCUCUGGUGCGCUGAAACUCUGACCCUUCCUGGCACACUGGUCUCCUGCACUGAGCUGGGAUUUUCCACCUAGGAGGUCCACCUGGCAUUGACUGACAUAGAUGGUGAGACUUCUGUCGGCCUCGCUUUUCCUGGGCCAGUGUCCAUCAGCCAGGUGCUCAGCCCCAGUGCACUGAAGCUCCAGCCCUUCCUGGCGCCCUGGACUGAGCUGUGUGAGCUCUUCUGCCAAGGGGGUCCUCCUGGCAUUGACCAACAUAGGUGGUGAGCCUGGAGGAAGACUUGCAUUGGGCCCAAUGGCCCUGGACCAGUGUCUGUCAGCCAGGUUCCCAGCCCCCGAUGCGCUGAAGCUCAAGCCUUUCCUGGCACCCUGGUCUCCUGCACUGAGCUGUGUGAGCUCUUCGGCCCAAGUGGUCCCCCCGGCCUUAAGCGGCAUAGUGAGCUCUUCCAAACAGGUGGGCUCCCUAGCAUUGACCGACAGAGUGAGCUCUGCCACCCAGGACAUCCCCCUGGCAUUGACUGGCAUAGAUGCUGACCCUGGAGGAAGACUUGUGUCGGGCCCCCAGGCCCCAGGCCAGUGUCCAUCAGCCAGGUGCUCAGCUCCCAGUGCGCUGAAGCUCAGACCCUUCCUGGCACCCUGGUGUCCAGCACUGAGCUGUGUGAGCUUUUCCACCCAGGUGGGCCCCCUGGCAUUGACCGACAUAGAUGAUGAGACUGGAGGAAGACUUCCAUUGGGCCCACUUUUCCUGGGCCAGUGUCCAUCAGCCAGGUGCUCAGCCCCUGGUGUACUGAAGCUCCAGCCUUUCCUGGUGCCCCAGUCUUCUGCACUAAGCUGUGUGAGCUCUUCCACCCAGGAGGGCCCCUUGGCAUUGACUGGCAUAGAUGGUGAGACGGGAGGAAGACUUGUGUUGGGCCUGCUGUUCCUGGGCCAGUGGCCAUCAGCCUGUUGCCCAGCCCCUGAGGCGCUGAAGCUCAGGCCCUUCCUCACACCCUGGUCUCCUGCACUAGCUGUGUGAGCUCUUCUGCCCAGGUGGGGCCCAUGGCCUUACACGACAUAGGAGCACGCAUUUCUUGAAGUCCUGCAAAGGUGAUGGUGGUCCAGACAGGAGAGGGUUCCUUCAGCCCAACAUAGCGCAGCUCCCAGCUGAAACUCGGAAGGCUGGUCAGGCCUCGAGGACUGCCCAGGCCACAUGAGGGUUUGGUGGCCGGGAGGGCCAAUGAUGCUCUGCGUCUGUGUUGGAUCAGUGUUCUUCAUGGAUUCCAUCACAUGGUGAGCCUUGAGGAAGACUUGUAUUGGGCCCCCACAGGCCCCAGGCCAGUGUCCGUCAGCCUGGUGCUCACCCCCAGUGUGCUGAAGCUCAGACCCUCCGUGGCACCCUGGUCUCCUGCACUGAGCUGUGUGAACUUUUCCUCCCAGAUGGGCCCCCUGGCAUUGACUGGCAUAGAUGGUGAGACCGGAGGAAGACUUGCAUUGGGCCUGUUGUUCCUGGGCCAGUGGCCAUCAGCCUGUUGCCCAGCCCCUGAUGCGCUGAAGCUCGGGCCCUUCCUCGCGCCCUGGUCUCCUGCACUGAGCUGUGUGAGCUCUUCUGCCCAGGUGAGGCCCAUGGCCUUAAGCGGCAUAGAUGGUGAGCCUGGAGGAAGACUUGUAUUGGGACCCUACAGGCCCCAGGCCAGUGUCUGUCAGCCUGGUGCUCAUCCCCCAGUGCGCUGAAGCUCAGACCCUCCCUGGCACCCUGGUCUCCUGCACUGAGCUGUGAUGGUGAGUCUGGAGGAAGACUUGUGUUGGACCCCCACAGGCCCCAGGCCAGUGUCCAUCAGCCUGGUGCUAAUCCCCCAGUGCUCUGGAGUUUGGACCCUCCCUGGCACCCUGGUCUCCUGCACUGAGCUGUGUGAGCUCUUCCACCCGGGCGGGCCCCCGGCAUUGACUGGCAUAGGUGGUGAGCCCGGAGGAGGACUUGCGUUCGGCCCGCUGGUCCCAGUGUGUCCGGAAUUGGUGGGUUCUUGGUCUCACUGACUUCAAGAAUGAAGCUGCGGACCCUCGCUAUGAUGAUAUGGAAGAAAAGCACUCUUUGGCCUGUUGUGACUGGGACAGUUGACAGCACCCAGGUGUCCUUUAAUGAAAAUGCUCUUGACACCAAUGCAUCCUAGCAUCACAGCUUCAGGAAGCCUUCUCAAGUGUGCAUGGGGAGUACUAUGUCUUUCAUCAAUAAUGAAAUCUUCUGAUUUGUAAGACAUGCUGCCAAGAGAUGUGCCAUUCUAUUAUAAAAGAUCAGUAGCUUCCUUUACCGACGUGUAUAUUCUAUCUAGAACAUUGAGCUAUGGAAGACUCCCACCUAAGGGAAUUAGUUUUACACCUUCAGAUAAAGACUGCUGAGAAGAGCACCCUCUGGUGUUGUCACAGAGGCAAGUGCUACCGCACAGGCAUGCUGCAGUGAAUUUAACUGAUCCUCUGUCCCUGCAACCGUUGUUUAAGGAUGCUAUUCUGAAAAGACUGUGGAGGAAGAAAACCCUUUACCCUGUUGUUCAGGGAGAAACUGACACCACUCAACUGCCUGGCACUGAAAAUGUGGCAUCCAGUCCACUUUACCAUCAGUGUUUAAGGAAACCAUCUCUGAUAAGGAUGACUGAGGAAGAGUACUCUUUGGCUUGUUGACACCAGCACAGCUGACACACCCAGAUAUCUGUUUGGUCUCCUGUGAACUUUCAACCAGGAUUUAAGGAUGCCACUCUGGUUAAAAGCUGAAACAACUUCAAGGAAACUUCAGGGAAAAGAGAAGGCCUGGAAUCUGAUCCUCCACUUCAGAGAACAGGGGUGGUGGAGUCUAUGGCCCUUCUCCUUGAAUCUGAGUGAAAUUAGUGAGUCUUUCAAUCCAAAGACUACAGUCAUACCUCAACUAUCUACAGAGGACUGGUUCCAGGACUCCCAUGGAUCCCAAAAUCCAAGGAUGCUUCGAAUCCCUUAUAUAAAAUGGCAUGGUAUUUGCAUAUAACCUACAUGCAUCUUCAAAUAUGUUAAACCAUCUCUAGAUUACUUAUAAUACCAAAUACAAUGUAAUGCUAUGUAAACAGUUGUUACAAUGUAUUGUCAAAGACAAGCUCUCCUUGCCAAUCCCUGACCAAAUGAGAGAUUCAUGAGCAAAAUAAAUAGUUGCUGAUAUUUAAGGCACUAAGUUUGGGGCAAUGUAUUACACAGCAAUAAAUAACUGGAACAGCAUAGUAAAUUCUAGUUAAAAAUACUAAACUACUAAGUUUUAGUUAACAUACAUGCUCAAGUUAAGGGUGUGGUAUACUAACAACUGCAACUUACUUUGAAAAGCAUAAAAAAAGACACUAGAAGAAGACAGGAUGGAUAGAUGGACAAGAUAGAAGACAAUAACAAAUAGAACAAAAUGUUGUGAAAUUAUAUUCUACAAUUAUUUUAAAGUCUGUGUGGUUUGAAAAAUUGUACGAUAAAAUGAAGAGUGAAAUAAAGACAUUUCCAUACAAACAAAAGCUGAAAGAUUUUGUAGCCAGUAGACCUAUACUUUAGAAAUGUUUAAGAAAUUUUUUCAAGUAAAAGGAAAAUAACACCAGCAACAAACUUGGAUCUACAAAAAGGAAUCUCCACAAAGAAAAAUAAAUAAAAAUGGUAAAUAUGAAGGUAAAUAUAAAGGAAUGUUAUUCUUAGUUUUUAAGUUUCUUCGUAAGACAACUGGCCUUUGAAAGAAAUAGUUUCAAACGCUGCUGUGGAAUCUAUAACACAUAUAGAAGUAAAAUGUUAAGAUCAUAAUACCAAAAAGAAUGAGGGAGAGUAAAUGGAUGUAUACUAUUCCAAAAUUCUUACAUUAUACAUUAAGAGGAAUAAUAUUUUUGAAGGUAGAUUGAGGUAAGUUAAAGGUGCAUAUUGUAAAUCCUAGAAGUAUCACUGGGGGGAAAAAAAACAGAGGGACAAGCUAAUAAUGGAGACAAUACAAAAUUCCAAAAAUGCUCCAUUAACCGAAAAGAAGGCAGAAAAGGAAGAAAAGAUUAGACAAAUAGAAAACAAAUAGUGUCUUAAACACAAUUAUAUUGCCAACUGCAAUAAAUGUAAAUGGACUUAAUCAAAAAGCAACGAUCGUAAAAAGUCAAUCUGAAAGCAAGAUGCAACUAUAUGCUAUCUAAAAGAAAGACAUUAAAUGACCAAUAAGCUGAAAAUAAAAACACAGCAAAAUGAUAUAAUGUGCAAAAAUUAAUCAUAAGAAAGGAAUGGAUACACUAAUAUCAAAGUAGACUUUAGAUAAGGAACAUUACCAGCGAUAAACAGAGACAUUUCAUAAUGAUAAAGACAUCAAUUAAUCAAGGAGAUCUAACAGUCCUAAAUGUGAACACACCUAAGGACACAA
rnacentral:lncRNA from 1 species